AUUGAACGCUGGCGGCAUGCUUUACACAUGCAAGUCGAACGGUAACAGGCCGCAAGGUGCUGACGAGUGGCGAACGGGUGAGUAAUGCAUCGGAACGUGCCCAGUCGUGGGGGAUAACUACUCGAAAGAGUAGCUAAUACCGCAUACGAUCUAUGGAUGACAGCGGGGGACCGUAAGGCCUCGCGCGAUUGGAGCGGCCGAUGUCAGAUUAGGUAGUUGGUCGGGUAAAGGCUCACCAAGCCAACGAUCUGUAGCUGGUCUGAGAGGACGACCAGCCACACUGGGACUGAGACACGGCCCAGACUCCUACGGGAGGCAGCAGUGGGGAAUUUUGGACAAUGGGCGCAAGCCUGAUCCAGCAAUGCCGCGUGCAGGAAGAAGGCCUUCGGGUUGUAAACUGCUUUUGUACGGAACGAAACGGCUCUGGUUAAUACCCGGGGCUAAUGACGGUACCGUAAGAAUAAGCACCGGCUAACUACGUG
rnacentral:rRNA from 1 species